GCGGCUAUGGCGGAAUUGGUAGACGCAACUGGUUUAGGUCCAGUCGGGCAACCGUGGGGGUUCGAGUCCCUCUAGCCGCACCA
rnacentral:tRNA from 1 species